UGGUGCAGAAACAACAGAAAAAUUGCAGAUUUCUCCAGCUGUCAGCAGGCUAUGCAGUGAAGGAAGAGCAAUGGACGGAGAGCCGUAGCACAGCAGAGAGCAAAGGAUCACAGGAGGCUGGUGAUUAAAUCCAGAGGUCAUUGGGCGAGAGGCAGAUUAAACAGACUGCGAUAUCUUUUUGUCGAUCCAGCAGACGGCUGACUGAUGAAAUUGUUUU